AGUGAACGCUGGCGGUAGGCCUAACACAUGCAAGUCGAACGGCAUCACAGAGGAGCUUGCUCCUUGGGUGGCGAGUGGCGGACGGGUGAGGAAUACAUCGGAAUCUACUCUGUCGUGGGGGAUAACGUAGGGAAACUUACGCUAAUACCGCAUACGACCUACGGGUGAAAGCAGGGGAUCUUCGGACCUUGCGCGAUUGAAUGAGCCGAUGUCGGAUUAGCUAGUUGGCGGGGUAAAGGCCCACCAAGGCGACGAUCCGUAGCUGGUCUGAGAGGAUGAGCAGCCACGCUGGAACUGGGACACGGUCCAGACUCCUACGGGAGGCAGCAGUGGGGAAUAUUGGACAAUGGGCGCAAGCCUGAUCCAGCCAUACCGCGUGGGUGAAGAAGGCCUUCGGGUUGUAAAGCCCUUUUGUUGGGAAAGAAAUCCAUCUGGUUAAUACCCGGGUGGGAUGACGGUACCCAAAGAAUAAGCACCGGCUAACUUCGUGCCAGCCGCCGGCGUAA
rnacentral:rRNA from 1 species